GGAAGGAUCAUUAUUGAAAUAAACCUGAUGGGUUGCUGCUGGCUCUCUAGGGAGCAUGUGCACACUUGUCAUCUUUAUAUCUCCACCUGUGCACCUUUUGUAGACCUGGAUAUCUCUCUGAAUGCUAGCAUUCAGGUAUGAGGAUUGACUUUUCUGUCUUUCCUUACAUUUCCAGGCCUAUGUUUAUUCAUAUACCCCAAUGUAUGUUAUAGAAUGUAAUAAAUGGGCCUUUGUGCCUAUAAAACCUAUACAACUUUCAGCAACGGAUCUCUUGGCUCUCGCAUCGAUGAAGAACGCAGCGAAAUGCGAUAAGUAAUGUGAAUUGCAGAAUUCAGUGAAUCAUCGAAUCUUUGAACGCACCUUGCGCUCCUUGGUAUUCCGAGGAGCAUGCCUGUUUGAGUGUCAUUAAUAUAUCAACCUCUUCAGCUUUUGCUUGUUGAGUGUUGGAUGUGGGGGUCUUUUUGCUGGCAUCUUCUGAGGUCAGCUCCCCUGAAAUGCAUUAGCGGAACAAUUUGUUGACCGUUCAUUGGUGUGAUAACUAUCUACGCUAUUGACGUGAGGCAGUUCAGCUUCUAACAGUCCAUUGACUUGGACAAAUUUUCAUUAAUGUGACCUCAAAUCAGGUAGGACUACCCGCUGAACUUAAGCAUAUCAAUAAGCGGAGGAAAAGAAACUAACAAGGAUUCCCCUAGUAACUGCGAGUGAAGCGGGAAAAGCUCAAAUUUAAAAUCUGUCAGUCUUUGGCUGUCCGAGUUGUAAUCUAGAGAAGUGUUAUCCGCGCUGGACCGUGUACAAGUCUCCUGGAAUGGAGCGUCAUAGAGGGUGAGAAUCCCGUCUUUGACACGGACUGCCAGGGCUUUGUGAUGCGCUCUCAAAGAGUCGAGUUGUUUGGGAAUGCAGCUCAAAAUGGGUGG
rnacentral:rRNA from 1 species